GCAGGCUGGUUGGGGUCGGGGCUAAAGUCAGGCUGGGCUGAAGGAGCCAGGGCCCUGUGAUGCAGCCUUGGCCACCCAGGUCAUGGGCCACCUGCUUCCCCUGUAGACUCCAGAGCUCCUGCCCUGGAACCUGCUGUGGCUCCCCACUCCCCACAGGGCAGAGCCUAAAUUCCCCAGUGUGACAUUUAAGGGCUAUCGCACCCUGGCUGCUGCUCUGGUAAGUUCUACUUCAGGGCCCAGCUGCUUCUGCUCCUCUGUGCCUUUGCAGGCUCUGUUCUCACUGCUGUCACACCCCUCCUCGUGGGCAGUGCCUUCCCGGGCUGUCCCCCUCCCCUGACACUUUGCACAAGCUGCUUACGUGUCCAUAUCCCCUUCCUCCCGCUCCUUCCCAGACUUCACCCCCUCCUGCCUGUAGUCAGCCCCCCACCUGCAUUCCAUAGCCUCCUCUCUGCUGCAUCACCAUCUAGCAUUUUCCAUAGCUUACUAUUGUUUCGUUGAAUGUCUUUCUCCUUCACCCAGAAUGUCAGCUCCAUGAGGGCAGGUGGGGAGGUUUUGUCACGGCUGCGUGGCCCCAGUGCCUGGGGCUGCCCGGCACAUAGCAGGUGCCCAGGCAGGGCUUGUUAGAGGCAGGGGCUUGGCAGCCUCUGACGGGAGCUCUAAGGCUCCGUGGCCUGGGACAGCCCUCCUCCCCCUGCCCUUUGCAGCCUUGUCUCCCGCGGAGCACGAAGCUGGGCACCCUGGGGGCCAUGCAGAAGGCCGGGGCUGGGGGCCGGAGGGCCUCGGACUGCGGCCCCGCCCCUCACCGGCCCAGUACGUGGGCUCCUUUCCUGUGGACGACCUGGACACCCAGGAGCGCGUGUGGCUGGUGCAGCAACAGCUGUGGGCACUGAAGGUAGGGGGGCUGGGGCUGGAGAGGGCACUUCCCUAGUGGGGACCACAGCUUUGGAUGUCAGGCUGGGAAUCCUGAGACUGCCUGCUCCCCCCUCCGCCCCCCAACUCAGAGAGCUGGAGCAAGUGAGACCCAGGGAGGGGCAGGACCAAAGCCAUUCUGAGACGUGGGCCCUGACCCCUCCUCCUGAGCUCCGGGAUCCCCGUCCCUUAUGCCCCAGGGCCCCCUUCCCUUGGGCAGUUGUGACCUGUGUGUGUGUG
rnacentral:lncRNA from 1 species